rnacentral:pre_miRNA from 1 species
GCGGCCGCGGCGUUGCAAGAUGGCGGCGGGCCCGGGCACCGCCCCUUCCGCCCCGCCAGGCUCGCA